rnacentral:rRNA from 1 species
GGAUGCCUUGGCAGUCAGAGGCGAUGAAAGACGUAGUAACUUGCGAUAAGCCCAGAUUAGGUAGUAACAACCAUUUGAGUCUGGGAUUUCUGAAUGGGGAAACCCACGUGCAUAAGCACGUAUCAUUAACUGAAUACAUAGGUUAAUGAGGCGAACUCGGGGAACUGAAACAUCUAAGUACCCGAAGGAAAAGAAAUCAACCGAGAUUCCGAAAGUAGCGGCGAGCGAAAUUGGACUAGCCCUUAAGCUUUUAAUGAGACAGGUGAAGCCUCUGGAAAGUGGCGCGACACAGGGUGAUAGCCCCGUAACNNACAUCUCAUCAUCAGUGAAAUCGAGUAGGGCGGGACACGUNUNAUACCUGUCUGAAUAUGGGGGGACCAUCCUCCAAGGCUAAAU